CGGCCGGCCUGCCUAUACUGCAGUCGAGCGCGGGAAGCAGACUGAAGUCUUCGGACGGACGUCUGUGGAACGAGCGGCGGAUGGGUGAGUAACACGUGGGUAACCUGCCUGUAAGCUUGGGAUAACUCCGGGAAACCGGUGCUAAUACCGAAUGAUCCUGAUGUUCGCAUGAACGUUAGGUGAAAGGCGGCUUUUGCUGUCACUUACAGAUGGACCCGCGGCGCAUUAGCUAGUUGGUGGGGUAAUGGCUCACCAAAGCGACGAUGCGUAGCCGACCUGAGAGGGUGAUCGGCCACACUGGGACUGAGACACGGCCCAGACUCCUACGGGAGGCAGCAGUAGGGAAUCUUCCGCAAUGGACGAAAGUCUGACGGAGCGACGCCGCGUGAGUGAUGAAGGUCUUCGGAUCGUAAAACUCUGUUGUUAGGGAAGAAUAAGUAUCGACCGAAUAAGUCGGUACCUUGACGGUACCUAACCAGAAAGCCCCGGCUAACUACGUGCCAGCAGCCGCGGUAAUACGUAGGGGGCAAGCGUUGUCCGGAAUUAUUGGGCGUAAAGGGCGCGCAGGCGGUCUUUUAAGUCUGAUGUGAAAUCUCGUAGCUUAACUACGAGCGGUCAUUGGAAACUGGAAGACUUGAGGACAGAAGAGGAGAGUGGAAUUCCACGUGUAGCGGUGAAAUGCGUAGAGAUGUGGAGGAACACCAGUGGCGAAGGCGACUCUCUGGUCUGUAACUGACGCUGAGGCGCGAAAGCGUGGGGAGCGAACAGGAUUAGAUACCCUGGUAGUCCACGC
rnacentral:rRNA from 1 species